UACGUAGGGGGCAAGCGUUGUCCGGAUUUAUUGGGCGUAAAGAGCGUGUAGGCGGUUCGGUAGGUCCGUUGUGAAAACUCGAGGCUCAACCUCGAGACGCCGAUGGAAACCAUCGAACUAGAGUGCGGUAGGGGAGACUGGAAUUCCUGGUGUAGCGGUGAAAUGCGCAGAUAUCAGGAGGAACACCGGUGGCGAAGGCGGGUCUCUGGGCCGUAACUGACGCUGAGGAGCGAAAGCGUGGGGAGCGAACAGG
rnacentral:rRNA from 1 species